rnacentral:rRNA from 1 species
UACGUAGGGUGCAAGCGUUGUCCGGAAUUAUUGGGCGUAAAGGGCUCGUAGGCGGUCCAUCGCGUCGGGAGUGAAAAGCUGGGGCUUAACCCCAGUCCUGCUUCCGAUACGGGUGGACUAGAGGUAGGUAGGGGAGAACGGAAUUCCCGGUGUAGCGGUGAAAUGCGCAGAUAUCGGGAGGAACACCGGUGGCGAAGGCGGGUUCUCUGGGCCUUACCUGACGCU